rnacentral:rRNA from 1 species
AUAGGGAGUCGGACCUGCCCGGUGAAAUUUUUUAACGGCCGCGGUACUCUGACCGUGCAAAGGUAGCAUAAUCAUUUGCCUUAUAAUUGAAGGCUAGUAUGAAUGGUUUGACAAGAAUACUGCUGUCUCUUUAUAACUUAUUAGAAUUUUAUCUUAAGGUGUAGAAGCCUUAAUAAAAUUGAUAGACAAGAAGACCCUAUCGAGCUUUAAAAAAUUUAGUAGAUUUUUAUUUCAGUAAAGUUAGUUAGCUAUUAAAAAUUUUGGUUGGGGCGACUAAGGAACAAACAAAGCUUCCUUUAAUAUUAAUAAACCCACAAGUCCUGAUCCAGAACUUUUGAUUAAAGAAAUUAGUUACCGUAGGGAUAACAGCAUUAUCUUUUUUGAGAGCUCUUAUCGAAAAGAAGGUUUGUGACCUCGAUGUUGGACCAGAAUAUCCUAAAGAUGCAGAAGUCUUUAAGGGUUGGUCUGUUCGACCAUUAAAAUUCUA